GGGGAUGUAAAGGUUUCGACGGGGAUUUUAAAACAUGAUAAGCGAGUAGAGGUUUGUGCCAUCUCUUAAAACGGCACCGUUUUAAAAUUAGACGACAACAAUAAUUUUGAAUUAGCAGCUGCUUAAUUGCUGCUCGUCCUGCCGAUGAGUACCGCGGCUUCGGUUUGGGCGUCGAUUAGCGGUGAACGCAUUCGGGAAGCGCCUGCGUCCCGUAUGUGUAUUGCAGGCUACUGAGCAUUGUUGGGUGUUUGUUCCCGAUAAUGCGAGGGAAUGUUAAUAACAAACUACACUCGUAGAAGUUCAUGCGGAUAGAUUUUCGGACACGGGUUCGAUUCCCGUCAUCUCCACCA
rnacentral:tmRNA from 1 species